UGUUUCUUGAUGUGAGUGAUAUUGACCAUAGGAGGGAAACAAGUAUGGGCUAUUUCCUGGAUUCAAGGCGUUUUGUGUAUCAAGAAAAAAACACACUGGUGACACCACUUUUAACAAUCAGCUGCCAGCAAAGGAACCCAACUUGUUUAAUUUUGUUAAAAUCCCCACAGUUGUGACGCCACAUGGAUUAAAAAAUAAAAAUAAAAAACUCCAAAAAUUGUACAAACAGCAACAACAACAGCACCAGAACCAACACAAGGGUCAGUAAACACAUUUGUACAGAGAGAAUAUCAUUUGUGUGUGGGGGGGAGAGAGAGAGAGAGAGAGAAAGA